AUUGAACGCUGGCGGCAUGCCUUACACAUGCAAGUCGAACGGCAGCACGGGAGCAAUCCUGGUGGCGAGUGGCGAACGGGUGAGUAAUACAUCGGAACGUGCCCAAUCGUGGGGGAUAACGUAGCGAAAGCCACGCUAAUACCGCAUACGAUCUACGGAUGAAAGCGGGGGAUCGCAAGACCUCGCGCGAAUGGAGCGGCCGAUGGCAGAUUAGGUAGUUGGUGAGGUAAAGGCUCACCAAGCCUGCGAUCUGUAGCUGGUCUGAGAGGACGACCAGCCACACUGGGACUGAGACACGGCCCAGACUCCUACGGGAGGCAGCAGUGGGGAAUUUUGGACAAGGGGCGCAAGCCUGAUCCAGCAAUGCCGCGUGCAGGAUGAAGGCCUUCGGGUUGUAAACUGCUUUUGUACGGAACGAAACGGUCCUUUCUAAUACAAGGGGCUAAUGACGGUACCGUAAGAAUAAGCACCGGCUAACUACGUGCCAGCCGCCGCGGUAA
rnacentral:rRNA from 1 species